rnacentral:rRNA from 1 species
CCUACGGGAGGCAGCAGUGAGGAAUAUUGGUCAAUGGGCUUACGCCUGAACCAGCCAAGUCGCGUGAGGGAAGACUGCCCUAUGGGUUGUAAACCUCUUUUGUCAGGGAGCAAUUGGCGCUACGUGUAGCGUUAUCGAGAGUCCCUGAAGAAAAAGCAUGGGCUAACCCCGUGCCAGCAGCCGCGGUAAUACGGAGGAUGCGUGCGUUAUCCGGUUUUUUUGGGUUAAAGGGGUGCGUAGGCGGAAUGCAAAGUCAGCGGUAAAAUCGCGGGGCUAAACUUCGCUCCGCAGUUGAGACUGGCAGUCUUGAGUGGGCUAGAGGUAUGCGGAAUGCGUGGUGUAGCGGUGAAAUGCAUAGAUAUCACGCAGAACUCCGAUUGCGAAGGCAGCAUACCGGCGCCCAACUGACGCUGAAGCACGAAAGCGUGGGUAUCGAACAGGAUUAGAUACCCCUGUAGUC